rnacentral:tRNA from 1 species
GCCCGGGUGGUGAAAUUGGUAGACACAGGGGACUCAAAAUCCCCCACCGCAAGGUGUGUCGGUUCGAGUCCGACCCUGGGCACCA